CACUGAGAAAGCAGGGAGAGACUCGCCACCCCAGCCCUCGGGGGGCCCUGCGGUCACCCGCUGCCCUGAGCGCUGGAGGGACCAGGCUUUGCUCCCGGUGCCCCCGGUGGCUCCGGCCCGGCGGGGGAAGCAGCGUCUGGGCUCCACCGCGUCUGUCUGCAGCCACCAGAGCUGUAAAUCCACCGCCUCGCACAUCCAGGAGGUAGCUGGGGAUGACCGCUGCGCUCACUGCGCCCUGGCCUGCCUGUUCUGCGAGUUCCUGGCGCUCUGCUCCCUGGCGCUGGACGGGCUGGGCUGCGGGACGCUGUGCCUGGCGGGGGGGUGCUGUGCCGGGGGGGACC